rnacentral:rRNA from 1 species
GGUGAGUAACUGCAGGGUAACCUGCCUGUAAGACUGGGAUAACUCCGGGAAUCCGGAGCUAAUACCGGAUAGUUCCUUGAACCGCAUGGUUCAAGGAUGAAAGACGGUUUCGGCUGUCACUUACAGAUGGACCCGCGGCGCAUUAGCUAGUUGGUGAGGUAACGGCUCACCAAGGCGACGAUGCGUAGCCGACCUGAGAGGGUGAUCGGCCACACUGGGACUGAGACACGGCCCAGACUCCUACGGGAGGCAGCAGUAGGGAAUCUUCCGCAAUGGACGAAAGUCUGACGGAGCAACGCCGCGUGAGUGAUGAAGGUAAUCGGAUCGUAAAGCUCUGUUGUUAGGGAAGAACAAGUGCAAGAGUAACUGCUUGCACCUUGACGGUACCUAACCAGUAAGCCACGGCUAACUUGCAGCCAGCAGCCG